GGGGUAAUGGCCUACCAAGGCGUCGACGGGUAGCUGGUCUGAGAGGAUGAUCAGCCACACUGGGACUGAGACACGGCCCAGACUCCUACGGGAGGCAGCAGUGGGGAAUCUUGCACAAUGGGCGAAAGCCUGAUGCAGCAACGCCGCGUGCGGGAAGAAGGCCCUCGGGUUGUAAACCGCUUUCAGAAGGAACGAAAAUGACGGUACCUUCAGAAGAAGGUGCGGCCAACUACGUGCCAGCAGCCGCGGUGACACGUAGGCACCAAGCAUUGUCCGGAUUUAUUGGGCGUAAAGAGCUCGUAGGCGGUUCAGUAAGUCGGGUGUGAAAACUUUGGGCUUAACCCAAAGCGUGCAUCCGAUACUGCUGUGACUUGAGUUCGGUAGGGGAGUGGGGAAUUCCUAGUGUAGCGGUGAAAUGCGCAGAUAUUAGGAGGAACACCGGUGGCGAAGGCGCCACUCUGGGCCGAAACUGACGCUGAGGAGCGAAAGCAUGGGUAGCAAACAGGAUUAGAUACCCUGGUAGUCCAUGCCGUAAACGUUGGGCACUAGGUGU
rnacentral:rRNA from 1 species